rnacentral:rRNA from 1 species
CUACGGGACGCUCCAGUGAGGAAUAUUGGGCAAUGGGCGAAAGCCUGACCCAGCCAUGCCGCGUGAAGGAUGACUGCCCUAUGGGUUGUAAACUUCUUUUGUAAGGGAAGAAUGAUUCCUACGUGUAGGAAUGUGACGGUACCUUAUGAAUAAGCACCGGCUAACUCCGUGCCAGCAGCCGCGGUAAUACGGAGGGUGCAAGCGUUAUCCGGAUUUAUUGGGUUUAAAGGGUGCGUAGGCGGAAUUUUAAGUCAGUGGUGAAAUCCUGCAGCUCAACUGUAGAACUGCCAUUGAUACUGAUCUUCUUGAAUUUAGUUGAGGUGGGCGGAACGUGUAAUGUAGCGGUGAAAUGCUUAGAUAUUACACAGAACACCGAUUGCGAAGGCAGCUCACUAAACUAACAUUGACGCUGAGGCACGAAAGCGUGGGUAGCGAACAGGAUUAGAUACCCGCGUAGUC